AUUGAACGCUGGCGGCAGGCCUCACACAUGCAAGUCGAACGAGUGGCGGACGGGUGUGUAAUGUCUGGGAAACUGCCUGAUGGAGGGGGAUAACUACUGGAAACGGUCGCUAAUACCGCAUACCAUCAGAUUUUCCCAGAUGGGAUUAGCUUGUUGGUGGGGUAACGGCUAACCACGGCGACAGUCCCUAGCUGGUCUGAGAGGAGGACCAGACACAGUGGAACUGAGACACGGUCCAGACGCCGACGGGAGGCAGAAGUGGGGAAUAUUGCACAAUGGGCGCAAGCCUGAUGCAGCCAUGCCGCGUGUAUGAAGAAGGCUUUCGGGUUGUAAAGUACUGUCAGCGGGGAGGCGUUACCCGCAGAAGAAGCACCGGCUAACUCCGUGCCAGCAGCCGCGGUAAUAC
rnacentral:rRNA from 1 species